AACGAACGCUGGCGGCAGGCUUAACACAUGCAAGUCGAACGCCCCGCAAGGGGAGUGGCAGACGGGUGAGUAACGCGUGGGAGUCUACCUAGUUCUACGGAACAACAGAGGGAAACUUCUGCUAAUACCGUAUACGCCCUAAGGGGGAAAGAUUUAUCGGAAUUAGAUGAGCCCGCGUAAGAUUAGCUAGUUGGUGGGGUAAUGGCCUACCAAGGCGACGAUCUUUAGCUGGUCUGAGAGGAUGAUCAGCCACACUGGGACUGAGACACGGCCCAGACUCCUACGGGAGGCAGCAGUGGGGAAUAUUGGACAAUGGGCGCAAGCCUGAUCCAGCCAUGCCGCGUGAGUGAUGAAGGCCCUAGGGUUGUAAAGCUCUUUCAGUGGGGACGAUAAUGACGGUACCCACAGAAGAAGCCCCGGCUAACUUCGUGCCAGCCGCCGCCGUAAAAC
rnacentral:rRNA from 1 species